GUGGGGAAUUUUGGACAAUGGGGGCAACCCUGAUCCAGCCAUGCCGCGUGCGGGAAGAAGGCCUUCGGGUUGUAAACCGCUUUUGUCAGGGAAGAAAUCCUUUGGGUUAAUACCUCGGAGGGAUGACGGUACCUGAAGAAUAAGCACCGGCUAACUACGUGCCAGCAGCCGCGGUAAUACGUAGGGUGCGAGCGUUAAUCGGAAUUACUGGGCGUAAAGCGUGCGCAGGCGGUUUUGUAAGAUCGAUGUGAAAUCCCCGGGCUCAACCUGGGAACUGCAUUGGUGACUGCAGUGCUGGAGUGCGGCAGAGGGGGAUGGAAUUCCGCGUGUAGCAGUGAAAUGCGUAGAUAUGCGGAGGAACACCGAUGGCGAAGGCAAUCCCCUGGGCCUGCACUGACGCUCAUGCACGAAAGCGUGGGGAGCAAACAGGAUUAGAAACCCCUGUAGUCC
rnacentral:rRNA from 1 species